GCCAGGGUAGCAUUAUGGUUUGAGCCUUGGACUAUGACUCUGGAGACCAGGGUUCAAAUCCCAAUUUGGCC